rnacentral:rRNA from 1 species
AGUGAACGUUGGCGGCGUGGAUUAGGCAUGCAAGCCGAGCGAGAACCGUAGCAAUACGGGGACAGCGGCGAAAGGGACAGUAAUGUGUAGGUACCUACCUCCGGGUUCGGGAUAGCUGCGGGACACUGCAGGUAAUACCGAAUAACGUCCCCGGACCAAAGGUGUGAUUCCACCUGGAGAGGUGCCUGCAUCCUAUUAGCUUGUUGGCGGGGUAACGGCCCACCAAGGCGACGAUGGGUAGCGGGUGUGAGAGCACGACCCGCGUCAUUGGGGCUGAGACACUGCCCAGACACCUACGGGUGGCUGCAGUCGUGAAUCUUCGGCAAUGGGCGCAAGCCUGACCGAGCGACGCAGCGUGCGGGAUGAAGGCCUUCGGGUUGUAAACCGCUGUCGUAGAGGAGGAAAUGCAGGGGGGUUCUCCCCUCUGUUUGACCUAUUCUAGGAGGAAGUACGGGCUAAGUUCGUGCCAGCCGCCGCCGUAA